CGCCUCCGCCUCUUCUGCCACCGGGGUUUGUAUGAAAACACCGGGCGGCGGGCUGCGAAGCAUCCGCCGCGCGCCCAGCGAGCAGCCGCCGGUACUGACGGCCCGGAGCCGGGUGCCGAGCCUGGAGCGGCGGCUCUGUGCAGUCCCCGCCAGCGCCCAGCUUGAGCCGAUUAUCUGCAAUGGUGAAAUGAAGUAACUCAAGAUGAGCAAGUUGAAAGUGAUACCCGAGAAAAGCCUUACCAAUAAUUCUCGGAUUGUGGGGCUCCUGGCUCAGCUGGAGAAAAUCAAUACUGAAUCUACAGAAUCAGAUACUGCCAGAUAUGUUACAUCAAAAAUUCUUCAUUUGGCUCAAAGUCAAGAAAAAACAAGGAGAGAAAUGACAGCCAAAGGUUCUACAGGAAUGGAAGUUCUGCUGUCAACAUUAGAGAACACUAAAGAUCUUCAAACUACGCUAAAUAUCUUGAGCAUUCUUGUUGAGCUGGUUUCAGCUGGUGGAGGUCGAAGAGCAAGUUUCUUAGUCACCAAAGGUGGUUCACAAAUAUUGUUACAAUUACUUACAAAUGCCAGCAAAGAUUCUCCCCCACAUGAGGAGUUAAUGGUGCAGAUUCAUUCUGUUCUUGCAAAGAUUGGACCAAAAGAUAAAAAAUUUGGAGUGAAAGCUAGAAUUAAUGGGGCUCUGAAUAUAACUCUGAGUUUGGUCAAACAGAAUUUGCAGAAUCAUCGCUUGGUUCUACCUUGUCUUCAGCUUUUACGAGUGUAUUCUGCCAAUUCUGUGAAUUCAGUAUCUUUAGGGAAAAAUGGAGUUGUGGAACUGAUGUUCAAAAUCAUCGGACCAUUUAGUAAGAAGAAUUCAGGUCUUAUGAAGGUUGCUUUAGACACUCUUGCUGCAUUGCUAAAAUCAAAAACAAAUGCCAGGAGAGCUGUAGACAGAGGAUAUGUCCAAGUGCUUUUAACAAUUUAUGUAGAUUGGCAUCGCCAUGAUAAUCGGCAUAGAAACAUGCUCAUUCGGAAAGGAAUUUUACAGAGCUUAAAAAGUGUUACAAACAUCAAGUUGGGAAGAAAAGCAUUUAUUGAUGCCAAUGGGAUGAAAAUUCUUUAUAACACUUCACAAGAAUGUUUGGCAGUCAGGACUCUUGAUCCUCUUGUCAACACCUCCAGUCUUAUAAUGAGGAAGUGUUUCCCCAAAAAUCGCCUGCCACUCCCAACGAUUAAGAGUUCUUUCCAUUUCCAGUUGCCAGUUAUUCCUGUUACUGGACCUGUGGCACAGUUGUACAGUUUACCACCUGAAGUGGAUGACGUAGUAGAUGAAAGUGAUGACAACGAUGAUAUUGAUUUAGAAGCUGAAAGUGAGAUGGAAAAUGAAGAUGACCUAGAACAAAAUUUUAAGAAUGAUGAUAUUGAAACAGAUAUCAACAAAUUAAAACCCCAGCAAGUACCAGGACGAACAAUAGAAGAACUAAAAAUGUAUGAACACCUCUUCCCUGAACUUGUUGAUGAUUUUCAGGCAUUCACCCAUUCUGGGGCCUGUGCUCUGGCAGGAAUACGCACUGUGUGUGGCACCCUCAACUUCGACUAUGAUUUAAUCUCCAAAGAACCAAAGCCUUUUGUAUUUGAGGGAAAAUUACGUGGCCCAAUUGUUGUUCCCACGGCUGGAGAGGAUGCAUCUGGGAGUUCAGCUAAUUUAAAAAAGGGACCUGUAAUGAAGGAAAAAGUAUCUCCUAAAGGAGAGGAAGAUAAGCAACCUGCCUUUAUGGAUGUAGCAAAAGAAGAUAUUAAAGCUGAAGACAGAACAUUACAACAGCAGCUAGGUGAUCAAAAUAGAACUAUUUUACCAACCCAUGGCUUAAACAAUGAUAUUGUGAAAGCAUUGGACCGAAUCACAUUGCAGAAUAUUCCUUCUCAAACAGCCCCAGGUUUGACAGCAGAAGUUAAGAAGGACUGUAGUCUCCCUCUUGCUGUUCUCACAUGCACUAAAGCAUGUCCACACAUGGCUACCUGUGGAAAUGUUCUUUUCGAGGGUCGGACAGUUCAGCUAGGGAAGCUCUGCUGUACUGGGGUUGAAACUGAAGAUGAUGAAGAUACCGAGUCUAAUUCAUCGGUGGAACAAGCAUCAGUUGAAGUACCUGAUGGACCUACACUCCAUGACCCAGACCUUUAUAUUGAGGUUGUGAAAAACACAAAGUCUGUCCCAGAAUAUUCAGAGGUGGCUUAUCCUGAUUACUUUGGUCACAUUCCACCUCCAUUCAAAGAGCCUAUUUUAGAAAGGCCUUAUGGUGUACAAAGGUAUGGAAUACCACAUCAAUCAUACAGCAUCAAAACAGGAACCUUUCUUCACUGGAAAAGGACAAAAAUUGCCCAAGAUAUUGAGAGGCUAAUACAUCAGACUGAUAUCAUAGAUCGAGUGGUAUAUGACUUAGAUAACCCAAAUUACACCAUUCCAGAAGAAGGAGACAUUUUGAAGUUUAACUCCAAAUUUGAAUCUGGAAAUCUGCGCAAAGUAAUCCAAAUAAGAAAAAAUGAAUAUGAUCUGAUUCUGAACUCAGAUAUAAACAGCAAUCAUUAUCAUCAGUGGUUUUACUUUGAAGUCAGUGGAAUGCGGCCAGGUGUUGCUUAUAGGUUUAACAUCAUUAACUGUGAAAAGUCCAACAGUCAGUUUAAUUAUGGUAUGCAACCACUCAUGUAUUCGGUUCAGGAAGCAUUAAAUGCCAGACCAUGGUGGAUUCGUAUGGGUACCGACAUUUGUUACUAUAAAAAUCAUUUCUCAAGAAGUUCAGUUGCUGCAGGUGGACAAAAGGGAAAAUCCUACUAUACAAUUACAUUCACUGUCAAUUUUCCACAUAAAGAUGAUGUUUGCUACUUUGCUUAUCACUAUCCAUAUACGUAUUCAACUUUACAGAUGCAUCUUCAAAAAUUGGAAUCAGCACACAAUCCUCAGCAAAUCUAUUUUCGAAAAGAUGUGUUAUGUGAAACCUUGUCUGGAAACAGCUGUCCCUUGGUGACUAUAACAGCAAUGCCAGAGUCUAAUUAUUAUGAACAUAUCUGUCAAUUCAGAAAUCGUCCUUAUGUUUUCCUAUCUGCUCGGGUACAUCCUGGAGAAACUAAUGCAAGUUGGGUUAUGAAAGGAACAUUGGAAUAUCUCAUGAGUAAUAACCCUACUGCUCAGAGCUUGCGAGAAUCCUAUAUUUUUAAAAUUGUUCCUAUGCUAAAUCCAGAUGGUGUCAUCAAUGGAAAUCACCGCUGUUCUUUAAGUGGAGAGGAUUUGAAUAGACAGUGGCAAAGUCCAAAUCCAGAUUUACAUCCUACAAUUUACCAUGCUAAGGGUCUGCUACAAUACCUGGCAGCAGUGAAACGUUUACCACUGGUUUAUUGUGAUUAUCAUGGCCAUUCUCGAAAGAAGAAUGUAUUUAUGUAUGGAUGCAGCAUCAAAGAGACAGUAUGGCAUACCAAUGAUAAUGCCUCUUCAUGUGAUGUUGUAGAAGAUAUGGGAUAUAGGACUUUGCCUAAGAUACUGAGCCAUAUUGCCCCAGCAUUUUGUAUGAGCAGCUGUAGCUUUGUAGUGGAAAAAUCUAAAGAAUCCACAGCACGUGUUGUAGUUUGGCGGGAAAUAGGAGUACAGAGAAGCUACACCAUGGAAAGUACUUUAUGUGGCUGUGAUCAGGGAAAAUAUAAGGGUUUACAGAUUGGUACUAGAGAAUUGGAAGAGAUGGGAGCAAAAUUUUGUGUUGGUCUGCUGCGUUUAAAAAGACUGACAUCCCCAUUGGAGUAUAAUCUGCCUUCCAGCUUGCUUGACUUUGAAAAUGACUUAAUUGAAUCAAGCUGCAAAGUAACUAGAUCCACCUGAGCUGCUCUCAGACCCACCUGCUCAUCUUCCCCCUCCCCACCCAGGCCCACAGAAAAGUCUUAACUGGCCUUCUUCAGAAAGCUUCACCAUGGCUGAUUUUAGGACUGUCAGCAAAAGAGUCUCUACAAAAAAGUUCAAUGUAUAUAAGUCUUUAAGAUAGAAGCUUUAAAAGAGAAUUAUAUCAAGCUGAUGUUCUCCAAAAGGUUUCAUGAUCUACAGAUGGUUUGGAACAGUUUGGCUUUGGGCUGAAAGCUGGGUUCUUCUGAGAGGUCCUGAAAGGCCUCUGCUCUGAAUCAGCAAACUGCUUCUUCUAUCAACAUUUCACAGGACAAAGCAAAGGCUGUACCUGACAUCAACUGGGCAGGGAAGUAGACUUCUGCUAAAAAACGAUGGCCAGGAUGAGGAUGGAGGAGAGAAUUCUGAGUCAAUAAUACAUUUUAGCACAAUAGCCAACAGUUCCAGAAUGCUAUCUCUAUUUUGCUCACUUAUUUAUCUAGUUAUAAUAGUGACUGGUCAAAAUAAGAAAUGAAUUGGAUCUUUCUUUUGUGAACAUGUUUAAUUCCCCGAUUAAAAAAAAAUGCUUUUCUUAAGGAUUACAUCACAUUAUAUAAGCAAUUGUUUAUUUAAUUGAAAAAUUUACACAAAGAACCACUAAAUAUUUGUGCAGGUUACCUAGGGAAAUGUGUCACUUGGAUAUUUUUAUACACUGCAUUAUUGUGGCAGUAGUGUGUGAUGCAUUUCUUGGGUAAACAUUCAACCAUGGAUGGAAUCAGAAAAAUUUAGUGACUCUUACUUAGGAAAAAGGACCUCCUUUCUAAUCUUCUUUAUGAUGUUCUUUCUUUGACUAUACCAUUUCUUUCCCUGUGGGGCUAGUAUUUAAUUAAUAGAAGCUCUAAAUUGCUGAAAUAAUUUAAUUCUUAUGCUUUGAUUCUUGUUCUGAGUGCAGUUGUAGAAAGCUUUAUAAGUGUAAUGAACAAUGUGUAAGUUAGUAAUGAAGCUGAAUGGUAAGGGAAAUCAGUACAAAGUCAAUUUUGCUUUCUUUGUAUCAUUGGCAAACCAUGGCCCAUGGAGCAAGUGUGGCCCCCAUUUAGUUUUGCAAAUAAAGUUUUAUUGAAACACAGCCAUGCACACUCAACAAUGUGCUCAUACUGCAGUAGCAGGGUUGAGUACUUGUAACAAAUAUUAUUAAAUUCAGAAAGGGUAAGGUGUUUACUCUUUGGUUCUUUAUGGGAAACUUUGUCAUCCCUUGUUCUAUAUAGUUAUUAUAAUGCUAAAAAGCAGUUUCAAAAAUAUAAAUGUUAUAAAAUGUAAAUACUUUGAUUUCUUAAAACACAAAAUGGUUAUUUUUCACACUCACAUCCACUGGAGGUCUGAUAUUUUGUGAGGAAUAUCUUGUAACCCUAGUUUAGGGUAUGUGAAUACAAGUCAGUAUAGGUUAGGUUUUGUUCAAUAACAAACAUCCCCCAACUCUCAGGGCCUUAACACAAUAAGUUUAUUUCUCAUUCCUGCUAAAGGCCUAUUAUGGAUCAGCAGAGUUAUGCCAGGAUCCAGGCUGUGGGAGCAGCUACUAUCAGGAGAAUGUCUGGCCACUCAGCAGAGGCAAAAGGAGUACUGAUAUUAAAGUUUCUAUCCAGAAGUGACACACAUCACUUGUCCAUGACCAAAUUUCAGAAAAAGAACAGUUCCACAGGAAAUGACGGACACAUUCAGGAGACUUUCAGAGGGCAAUGGACUGUGGGUCAGUCUAAGGAGGAGACCUGAAGUUGCGGAGGCUGCCUUGACUGGUGUAGAUUGAGAGCCAACCAGAGUCCAUGGAAAGAGGCUAUGAGAAAUGAAAUGCCCGUGUGUGUGUGUGUGUGUGUGUGUGUUAUUUAUUUAUUUGUAUGCUCUGUUAUACUUUAUUGGGUUUUAUUUAAACUGGUUGAAAGUUUGACAUGA